rnacentral:rRNA from 1 species
AGCAGCCGCGGUAAUUCCAGCUCCAAUAGCGUAUAUUAAAGUUGUUGCAGUUAAAAAGCCCGUAGUUGAAUUUCGGGAUCAAUACGUCGGUCGUGCUUAGGUACGUACUGGCGUAAUUGAUUUCUCCCUUCUGACGAACCAUGAUGUCAUUAACUUGGUGUCAUGGGAAAUCAGGACUGUUACUUUGAAAAAAUUGAGUGUUUAAAGCAGGCUCACGCUUGAAUACAUUAGCAUGGAAUAAUGAAAUAGGACGUUCGAUCCUAUUUUGUUGGUUUUUAGGAUCAACGUAAUGAUUAAUAGGGA